AGUGAACGCUGGCGGUAGGCCUAACACAUGCAAGUCGAACGGCAGCACAGUAAGAGCUUGCUCUUACGGGUGGCGAGUGGCGGACGGGUGAGGAAUACAUCGGAAUCUACUUUUUCGUGGGGGAUAACGUAGGGAAACUUACGCUAAUACCGCAUACGACCUACGGGUGAAAGCAGGGGAUCUUCGGACCUUUCGCGAUUGAAUGAGCCGAUGUCGGAUUAGCUAGUUGGCGGGGUAAAGGCCCACCAAGGCGACGAUCCGUAGCUGGUCUGAGAGGAUGAUCAGCCACACUGGAACUGAGACACGGUCCAGACUCCUACGGGAGGCAGCAGUGGGCAAUAUUGGACAAUGGGCGCAAGCCUGAUCCAGCCAUACCGCGUGGGUGAAGAAGGCCUUCGGGUUGUAAAGCCCUUUUGUUGGGAAAGAAAAGCAGCAGGUUAAUACCCCGCUGUUCUGACGGUACCCAAAGAAUAAGCACCGGCUAACUUCGUG
rnacentral:rRNA from 1 species